UUUUGAGUAUUUAACCUACUGCUAUUUUUAUGAACGUGAUUGUUUUUUUGGAUUAAAAAAUAAAUAAAUGAAGUUUGGAAAUGAUUGCGCUUGCAAUGAUGUCAUUUCCUUGCGGAUGCCUGUAGCAGUUGACAGCCAAGUUGUUGACAAUUUGCUUCCACGGUGAAAUUGUUCUCUCCUUGUCCUUAUUGGUGUCGCAGGGGAAAAGAAAGUAUUUCAACGGAGUGCAUGGGACGUGAUGCAGCUCAACACAGAUUGUAAUGGAGGACGAUGCUAAGGAGAGGAGGAUGGAACAUGCUGACAGUCACGGUGUGCGGCCUCACCAUGGAAAAUUACAUUGAAAGUUCCUGCUGAAUGGGCCAUGCUAAACGUACAGCUCAGCUACAGCACGACGAUGAACAGCCACAUUACAGGUGUAACUAAAGAACCAAUGUGACCGCAACAAAGAGCUGCACCGUGGAUUGCUUGGCCCAAAGCCUAUUCAGCUGCUGACAGCCUUGGCUGGACCCUGGACAAUG